rfam:Erinaceus europaeus unplaced genomic scaffold scaffold00834, whole genome shotgun sequence
GUGCUCGAUUCAGCUGUACAUAUACUAGAAUUGGAACGAUACAGAGAUUAGCAUGGUAACUGUACAAGGAUGACAUGCAAAUUUGUGAAGCGUUCCAUGUUAAG